GCCUUGGUAGCUCAGCCUGGUAGAGCGUUACCUUGGUAAGGUAGAGGUCGGGGGUCCAAAUCCCCCCCAAGGCU
rnacentral:tRNA from 1 species